rnacentral:rRNA from 1 species
UACGAAGGGGGCUAGCGUUGCUCGGAAUCACUGGGCGUAAAGGGCGCGUAGGCGGACUUUUAAGUCGGGGGUGAAAGCCCAGGGCUCAACCCUGGAAUUGCCUUCGAUACUGGGAGUCUUGAGUUCGGAAGAGGUUGGUGGAACUGCGAGUGUAGAGGUGAAAUUCGUAGAUAUUCGCAAGAACACCGGUGGCGAAGGCGGCCAACUGGUCCGAAACUGACGCUGAGGCGCGAAAGCGUGGGGAGCAAACAGG